rnacentral:rRNA from 1 species
CAUACCCUAGGGCGAAGCCUGAAAUGCGCGCCCGUGAGGAUGAAGGCCUUCGGGUCUAAACUACUGUCGGCCGGACGAAUACCUGUUCCGCGAAUAACGGAAUCGGUUGACGGUACGGUCAGAGGAAGCCACGGCCAACUCCGUGCCAGCAGCCGCGGUAAGACGGAGGUGGCGAGCGUUGCUCGGACUCAUUGGGUGUAAAGGGUCGGUAGGCGGUCCGGUAAGUGCCCGGUGAAAUUCCACGGCUUAACCGUGGAACGUUCGGGUAGACUGCCAGACUUGAGGACUGGAGGGGCAGGCGGAAUUCCCGGUGUAAGGGUGAAGGGGGUAGAUAUCGGGAGGAACACCAGUGGCGAAGGCGGCCUGCUGGACAGUCCCUGACGCUGAGCGACGAAAG